GAUGAAGAACGCAGCGAAAUGCGAUACGUAAUGUGAAUUGCAGAAUUCAGUGAAUCAUCGAGUCUUUGAACGCACAUUGCGCCCGCCAGUAUUCUGGCGGGCAUGCCUGUCCGAGCGUCAUUUCAACCCUCGAACCCCUCCGGGGGGUCGGCGUUGGGGAUCGGCCCUUUACGGGGCCGGCCCCGAAAUACAGUGGCGGUCUCGCCGCAGCCUCUCCUGCGCAGUAGUUUGCACACUCGCAUCGGGAGCGCGGCGCGUCCACAGCCGUUAAACACCCCAAACUUCUGAAAUGUUGACCUCGGAUCAGGUAGGAAUACCCGCUGAACUUAAGCAUAUCAAUAAGCGGAGGA
rnacentral:misc_RNA from 1 species